CCUACGGGCGGCAGCAGUGAGGAAUAUUGGUCAAUGGGCGUAAGCCUGAACCAGCCAAGUCGCGUGAGGGAUGAAGGUUCUAUGGAUCGUAAACCUCUUUUAUAAGGGAAUAAAGUGUGGGACGUGUCCUAUUUUGUAUGUACCUUAUGAAUAAGGAUCGGCUAACUCCGUGCCAGCAGCCGCGGUAAUACGGAGGAUCUGAGCGUUAUCCGGAUUUAUUGUGUUUAAAGGGUGCGUAGGCGGCCUUUUAAGUCAGAGGUGAAAUUCUGUGGCUCAACCUGAGAAUUGCCGUUGAAACUGGGGGGCUCGAGUAUGUUGGAGGCAGGCGGAAUGCGUGGUGUAGCGGUGAAAUGCUUAGAUAUCACGCAGAACACCGAUGGCGAAGGCAGCCUGCCAAGCCAUGACUGACGCUGAUGCACGAAAGCGUGGGGAUCAAACAGGAUUAGAUACCCUAGUAGUC
rnacentral:rRNA from 1 species